CAGAGUGAGGGAAACACACUGCGUUUGGGGCAGGCAACGAAGACAGUUUUGGUACUGUUGUGGGUAAGCGACCUGUCUAAGAAACAAUAGGAACAAAGGUACAUGUAGUUACCUAGCUUCCAUUCAAUUUGUUGCUAAUUUAUAAUUAAUUUUGCUUGUGGAUUAAGAUUUUCUGCAGGUUAUAGAUAUGGCUGCUUCAUCAUCUUCUUCUCAAGAAAAGUAUGAGGCGUUUCUAAGUUUCAGGGGCGAGGACACCCGCGAUGGUUUUACUGGACAUCUUUAUAAUGCUCUGUGUCAAAAGCAUAUCAACACAUUCAAGGAUGAUGAAAACCUUAAAAGCGGGCAUAAGAUAUCAGAAAUUAUGGAUGCGAUUAAAGAAUCUAAGAUUUGCAUAGUAGUUUUCUCCAAAGAUUUUGCAUCUUCCACAUGGUGUUUGGAUGAAGUGGUUUGCAUACUCGAAUGCAAGAGUGAUGGAAAUGAUAUUAUGCCCAUUUUUUAUGGCAUAGAUCCAUCCAUUGUACGGAAACAGGAGCAGAGUUAUGCAGUAUCAUUUGGUAAACAUGAACAACGUUUUAAGGACAAAAUGGACAUGGUGCAGCAUUGGAGGGAUGCUCUCAAUGAAGUGGCUGCUCUCAGUGGUUAUGAUUCAAAGAAUAAAAGGCCUGAAUACAAGUUUAUAGAUGAAAUUGUUGAAGAUAUUUUGUCGAAGUUGUUUAGAUACCAAUCACCCUGUGAUCAUUCCAAGUGGGGAUUAAUUGGAAUUGAAAAUCAUAUAGAGGAAAUUGAAGGAUUAUUAUGCAUUGACUCAAUGGAUGUUCGCACCAUAGGUCUUUAUGGCAUGGGCGGUAUUGGAAAGACCACCCUUGCUCUUGCUGUAUUUCAAAAGUUAUCUCAUCAUUUCGAAAGUUGUUGCUUUCUUCGCAAUGUUAGAGAAGAAUAUGAAAAGCAUGGCGUAAUGGAAUUGAGAAAGGAACUUCUUUCCCAGCUGUUCUAUCAUGAUAAAACUAUUCCGAGCUUGGAAUCAACUCAUCUUCAAGAAAGACUCUGCCGCACAAAGGUUCUUAUAGUUUUAGAUGAUUUGGAUGAUGCAAUAUCCCAAUUAAAUGAAUUGUUACCUAAAGAGUACAAUUUUGGUGCUAGAAGCAGAAUUAUUGUCACAACUAGGGAUGCACAACUGCUUAAAUCAAGGACAGAUAAAGUUUACGAGGUUAAGAGGUUAAAUGAUGUUGAAGCUCUUAAGCUCUUCCGCUUACAUGCUUUUGAAAAUAAUUGUGAUCUUGAAGGAUACAAAGCUUUAUAAAAAAUUGUGGCCGAUUAUGCAUAUGGCAAUCCAUUAGGUCUUGAAGUCUUGGGUUCUUCACUUCACUUCAAAAUGUAGAAGAAUGGAAAAGUGCAUUGGAUGAGCUGCAGAUAGAGCCAAACCCAAAAAUUGAAAAAGUGUUGAGAAUAAGUUUUGAUCAAUUAGGCAAAAAAGACAAAAAAUGCUACACUCCCAUCCAGGAUGUGUUUCUUGACAUUGCAUGCUUUCAUGACAAUGGAUUUGAUAGAAAAUUUGUAGAAAGCAUAAUACAUCAUAGUGGUGCAACCAAAAAAAUAAGUGAUCUCAUUGAUCAGUGCUUAAUAAUUGAAGAUUACAACAGAUUGUCCAUGCAUUCUUUAAUACGAGAGAUGGGCUAGGCAAUUGUUUGUGAUGAGAACAAAAAACCUGGAAAUCGUAGUAGGCUGUGGAAGGCUAAGGAUGUUUGUUAUGUAUUGGAAAAAGAUACAGGAAGCUCUGAAAUUGAAGGCAUGUCAUUGAAUCAGUCCAAACUUGAAAAAGAUCUAAAUGUGAAAUCUUCAGCGGUGUUCUAAAAAAUGAUCAAUCUAUGAGUACUAAGAAUUUACUCCAAUCAUGUAUCUUUCUAUGGGGAGAAAGAAAUGUGCAAAAAAAUAUAUCUUCCUUCGGACGGUAUUGAGUAUCUUUCUGAUGAGUUAAGGUAUCUGCGGUGGGAUUUAUAACCUUUAAAAUUUUUGCCAUCAAAUUUUAGUCCACAGAAUCUUGCUGAACUUGUUAUGCCUUAAAGCCAACUUGUGGAGCUAUAUUGGAAUGAAGACCAGCCCAUUGGGAAGUUAAAGGAAAUCAAUCUUAGUUAGAGUGAAAGUCUUAUUCAGAUACCAAAUUUGAGUGGGGCUAUAAAUCUUCAACGUAUAGAUCUUCAAGGUUGUACAAGUUUAAUUCAAGUUCCUUCAUGUUUUAAGAAUCUGGACAAGCUUCAGCUUCUAGAUUUGGGUGAGUGUGAGAAUCUGAAAGAUGGCAUAGAAAAUCUUCCGUUGCAUAUGAGGAAUUUAACAUUGUGUGGGACAGCAAUUGAAGUAUUGCCCUCAUCAUUUGGGUGUCUUUUGGAUCUUAGAAAUUUGAAUUUGAGAGGCUGUAAGAAUCUGAAAGAUGACGUAAAAAAUCUUCCAUUGAAGAUAAGGAAUUUAACAUUGGAUGGAACAGCAAUAUAAGUAUUGCCCUCAUCAUUUGCGUGUCUUUUGGAUCUUAAAUUUUUAAAUAUGAGUGGCUGUAAGAAUCUGAAAGAUGGCAUCGAAAAUCUUCCAUUAAAUAUAAAGGAUUUACAACUAUCUUGGACAGCAAUAGAAGUAUUGCCCUCAUCAUUUGGGUGUCUUUUGGAUCUUGGACUUUUAGAUUUGAGUAGUUGUAAGAAUCUGAAAGAUGGCAUAGAAAAUCUUCCAUUAAAUAUAACUUUAGACUGUCACGGACAACAAUAGAAUUAUUCCCCUCAUCAUUUGGGCGUCUUUUGAAUAUUGAAUAUUUACAUUUGAUUGAUUGCAGAACUCUGGAAGAUGUACAAAAUAUUUCGAUGGGUAGAAUAGUUGAAUUAAAUUUGUCUGGGACUGCAAUUAAAACUCUACCGGAAAGCAUUUGGAAGAUGAGUCAUCUGACAAGGCUGUUGCUUCAUGAUUGCCCAAACCUAGAAAAGCUUCCAGAAAUCUCGGAUAGUUUAACUUCACAUCUAGGAACUCCAGAUAUAAGUGGUUGCACGAGAUUGAAAUCAAUACCAGAGCUUCCAGCAAGUUUAACGUAUUUUUGUGCAAGAGACUGCGCUUCUCUUGAGACAAUAUCAAGUUGGAGGGAUCCCAAAUAUAAUGAAUUGGAUGGAUCAAUAACUGCAUUUUAUCGUUUUAAAAAUUGUCUAAAACUGGAUGAGCACACACGGAACAACAUAAUUGCUGAUCGUUUAUGCCUUAAAAUUCCUUAUAUUCAGGAUAUAGCAUGUCUUGACACGAUGUAUCCAGGAGAUGAAAUCCCAGAGUGGUUCAGCCAUCAAACCGAUUAUGAGAACUCACUCCAUAUCCACCUUCCUCCUCAUUGGUUUCAUGAUAUUAAUCAUCCCCGCUUCAAAUUUGUUUAUUGCAUUGUUUUGUUAAAUAGAACUGGGCAGAAUGCUUUCCUCGGAUUUGAAUUCAAAUUCAAAACCAACAUGAACCGUGAUGACUGUCCUUAUGUUUAUCAGACGCCAUUAGCAAGCGUAACGCUGGGUACCACUUGUCCAGAUCACGUCUUCAUGUGUUACUGGGAGAUUGAUUUGAUACGCGUAUUUGGGGCAGAGUGGUCCUCUGUUUACAGCAAUGUCAUCGAGGCUUCUUGCCGUGCGGUUAUAGAGGGAGAAGGGGUCAUCAAUUGGGAGAUCAAAAAGUUUGGGUUGGAGUUGGGAAAUACGUGGGAUACUGCAGAUAAAAGUAAAAGAAGAUUUGGUGAAUUUAGUGGUCAACCCAAUGCAUACCAAGACAUAGUUGGGUCACGUGAUCCUCAAAUCAAUUCCAAGAGAAUCAAGGCCUCAUCAAAUGAUUAGAGUGAGAGAAACACAUAGCGUUUUGGGCAACCGAUCAGGACGAUGUUUUUGGUGUUGUGAACAAUAGGAGAGAGCGAGUCGGCAUCCGAAAGACCUAGCGUCAGCAACGUCGUUGGGCAGGGCAGAGGUUAUAAACAUGAAUGCUUCUUCUUCUUCGUCUUCUCGAGAAAAGGAUGAGGUGUUUCUGAGUUUCAGAGAGCAAGCUAAGGUAGAGGACCCAGAGGUGGAGAGACUAGAGAUGGGAAGCGCUCCAGAACUAUUUCCAGAGCCAUAUCGAGCAGCCUUAGAAGAAGAUUGGGAAAGAAUGAAGAGAUUCUAUGAAAAAAACAGAGAAGCAUUGUUUUAUCCUCUUACAGUCACUAACGACAACCCAUUUCACAUAGCUGUUUAUAGUAGAACUAAAAGCCCGCUUGAAGAAUUGAUUCAGAUGGUGCCAAACCCUCCAAUUGCGAAAGCCGAUGAUAAGAAAUGCACACCCCUUCACGAGGCGGGUGCUAUUGGAAAUAUUGAAGCAGCUCAAGUGUUGGUGCGUUGCUCUCCGGAGCAGCUUGAGGCUAGAAAUGCUGUAGGAGAAACUCCAAUGUAUAGAGCUGCUGCAUUUGGUAUGACAGAAGUGGUCAAGUAUUUGGCUUCCGAAGUCCGAAGCCGCAACUUGGAUAUGCAUUUUCAGCGCAUCAGAUAUGAUAAUACCUCCAUUCUUCAAAGUGCCAUCCAUGGCCAACACUUCGAAACAGCAUUGUGGUUGCUUAGAAAUGAUGAAAUUCUGGGAGAUCUCAUGGAUAAUAAAGGCAGGACAUGUCUUCAGCUACUGGCUAACAUGCCAUCAGCUUUCAAGAGUGGAUACCUCAUGGGCAAAUUUGCAUCAUUUAUCUAUUUCUGUCUUCCAAGUAAUGAACACGAUGAGAAAGGUGAUCAAAUGAAUUUGAGGCAACGCAACAUUUUGGAGAGUGGAUGGGGUAGAAAUAAUCUCCAUCAAUCUUGCUUUUUAAGCUUCAAUACAGCAAUCACAAGGUUGUACUCUUGCUUAUGGACGUUCCUACGUGCUGGAUGGCAAACGAUAGAACAAAUCCAAAACGAAAAGACGAAGCACGAAUCAUCUUUGGAACUUGCAAAGCUACUCAUAAAGAAAGACAAAUCAUGGGAGAAAACUGAUAUAAAACCAGAUAUAGGAAUCAUUUCAUUUGGGGAAACAGAAAGAAGUGGAUCGAAGAAAGUAGUUGCAUUAGGAAAGAAAGAAGAUAAAGAGGAAAAAGAUGAGAAUAAUUUUCCACCAUCAAUUCCUAAAAGUACAACACCAUUGCUUAUAGCAACUAGCAUAGGUAUCGAAGAGAUCGUUAAUGGGAUACUUGAAGAGUAUCCUCAGGCCGUAGAGCAUGUUAGUGAUCAGGGACUCAGCAUCAUGCAUGUUGCCAUUAGGUACCGCCAAAGGGAUAUUUUUGAACGUGUAAAGAAGAUGAAGAUUCCGAUGGUGAGGCUGGUUCGGAGAAUUGAUGACAGUGGCUAUACCUUAUUGCACCAUGUUUCUGAUAUGACCCAUUGCUCUACUGGAAGUUUGCCUAACCCUGCUCUUCAAUUGCAAGAUGAAUUGAAAUGGUUUAAGCGCGUACGGAAAUUAAUUCCAUCCCAUUACGUCAUGAACCACAGCAAAGGUGGUCAAACUGCCUAAGAGUUAUUCGAAAAGUCUCAUGCAAAUCUUCUCCAAGAGGCACAAAACUGGCUAAAGCGGACAUCAGAAUCCUGCUCAGUAAUCGCAGUGCUGAUCGCCACCGUAGCCUUCACGGCGGUAUAUACCGUUCCAGGAGGUUCCAAUCAGUCCACGGGCCUUCCGAUAUUACUUCAUGACCCCUUCUUUGUGGUUUUCACGGUCAUGGACGUUCUGUCCCUCAUCAGUUCUCUCACAUCGGUAGUAAUGUUCAUCUCCAUCCUCACCUCUCCCUUCAGGCUUGAAGAUUUCCGUCAGUCUCUCCCCCAAAAGCUUACUUUGGCCUUCACCUUCCUGUUCCUUGCUGUGGCGGUGACCAUGAUGGCUUUCUCGGCCACUGUAAUUCUGAUCGUUCAUAUGAAGAAGCGUUGGACCACCAUUAUUGUCUAUGGCGUCUCUUUUGUUCCAGUGACGGUGUUUGCACUCUUGCAAUUCCCUCUGUACGUAGCAUUUAUGGGCACCGUGAAUCACUAUCUAAGCAUCAUGAAUAAGGCUCUUCCUUGGAAUUUUCUUAAGCCGUUGUUUUGCAAGAAUCAGUACUGAAUGUUUUUUUUUCUUUUUCUUUUUUUGGGUAAACAUGAAUCAGUAGUGAAGUCUGUUUAAUAAUAUGUAUAUGGAUAUAGCUACAGCACUGAGGCUGGACUGCCUUUAUUAACAAAUUGGCUGGUUUGUAUUUAGGUCAAAUUUUAAUUAUGCAAGUAGUAUUAUAACGUGUUAAUUACAUAAUUUCUGUUAAUUUCUUUUCUUUUUAUUUGAUU